GAACGGUGUCUUCGGACAUAGUGGCGCACGGGUGCGUAACACGUAUGCAACCUACCUUACAUUGGGGGAUAGCCUUUCGAAAGGGAGAUUAAUACCGCAUAAGACAGUAACUAGGCAUCUAGUAGCUGUUAAAGAUUUAUCGAUGUAAGCUGGGCAUGCGUCCAAUUAGCUAGUUGGUGAGGUAAUGGCUCACCAAGGCUAUGAUUGGUAGGGGAACUGAGAGGUCAAUCCCCCACACUGGCACUGAGAUACGGGCCAGACUCC
rnacentral:rRNA from 1 species